rnacentral:rRNA from 1 species
CUUAACACAUGCAAGUCGAGGGGCAUCAGGAAGAAAGCUUGCUUUCUUUGCUGGCGACCGGCGCACGGGUGAGUAACACGUAUCCAACCUGCCCUUUACUCGGGGAUAGCCUUUCGAAAGAAAGAUUAAUACCCGAUAGUAUAAUCAUUCCGCAUGGUUUGAUUAUUAAAGGAUUCCGGUAAAGGAUGGGGAUGCGUUCCAUUAGGUUGUUGGUGAGGUAACGGCCCACCAAGCCUUCGAUGGAUAGGGGUUCUGAGAGGAAGGUCCCCCACAUUGGAACUGAGACACGGUCCAAACUCCUACGGGAGGCAGCAGUGAGGAAUAUUGGUCAAUGGGCGCGAGCCUGAACCAGCCAAGUAGCGUGAAGGAUGACUGCCCUAUGGGUUGUAAACUUCUUUUAUAUUAGAAUAAAGUGCAGUAUGUAUACUGUUUUGUAUGUAUAAUAUGAAUAAGGAUCGGCUAACUCCGUGCCAGCAGCCGCGGUAAUACGGAGGAUCCGAGCGUUAUCCGGAUUUAUUGGGUUUAAAGGGAGCGUAGGUGGACUGGUAAGUCAGUUGUGAAAGUUUGCGGCUCAACCGUAAAAUUGCAGUUGAUACUGUCAGUCUUGAGUACAGUAGAGGUGGGCGGAAUUCGUGGUGUAGCGGUGAAAUGCUUAGAUAUCACGAAGAACUCCGAUUGUGAAGGCAGCUCACUGGACUGCAACUGACACUGAUGCUCGAAAGUGUGGGUAUCAAACAGGAUUAGAUACCCUGGUAGUCCACACAGUAAACGAUGAAUACUCGCUGUUUGCGAUAUACAGUAAGCGGCCAAGCGAAAGCAUUAAGUAUUCCACCUGGGGAGUACGCCGGCAACGGUGAAACUCAAAGGAAUUGACGGGGGCCCGCACAAGCGGAGGAACAUGUGGUUUAAUUCGAUGAUACGCGAGGAACCUUACCCGGGCUUAAAUUGCAGUGGAAUGAUGUGGAAACAUGUCAGUGAGCAAUCACCGCUGUGAAGGUGCUGCAUGGUUGUCGUCAGCUCGUGCCGUGAGGUGUCGGCUUAAGUGCCAUAACGAGCGCAACCCUUAUCUUCAGUUACUAACAGGUCAUGCUGAGGACUCUGGAGAGACUGCCGUCGUAAGAUGUGAGGAAGGUGGGGAUGACGUCAAAUCAGCACGGCCCUUACGUCCGGGGCUACACACGUGUUACAAUGGGGGGUACAGAAGGCAGCUACCUGGUGACAGGAUGCUAAUCCCAAAAGCCUCUCUCAGUUCGGAUCGAAGUCUGCAACCCGACUUCGUGAAGCUGGAUUCGCUAGUAAUCGCGCAUCAGCCACGGCGCGGUGAAUACGUUCCCGGGCCUUGUACACACCGCCCGUCAAGCCAUGGGAGCCGGGGGUACCUGAAGUACGUAACCGCAAGGAGCGUCCUAGGGUAAAACUGGUGACUGGGGCUAAGUC